rnacentral:tRNA from 1 species
CAAAACAUAGCUUGUGUAGAAAAGCACUUCACUUACGUUGAAGAGAAUUAUCGUGCAAAUCGGUUUGUUUUGA